ACCCUUGUUUUUUCUCACUCCUACUUCUUGGCCUCCCUUAAAUAUUUUUCACCUAUCAUGAGCAAUACCCUCUUCUCCAAAUGGGGUGGUUCCAAUCCCUCUUCUCUCCCCUGAAGAAGUUGUGGGUUCGUCUCAACUCGACUCAGAAGAAGAGUAGGGGGAUAUAUAUCCUGUAUGAGGAUGUCAAGUCCUGCCCCUACGAGGACGUGCAUGUGCUCUGGUCGAUACUAGUGGAGUCGCAUCCACCAGCUUUACCACCACCAAAAUGACAGGUCUCCACAAACAUAUACAGCAGAAAACACAG